rnacentral:rRNA from 1 species
GAUGAACGCUGGCUACAGGCUUAACACAUGCAAGUCGUGGGGAAACGGCAUUAUGUGCUUGCACAUUCUGGACGUCGACCGGCGCACGGGUGAGUAUCGCGUAUCCAACCUGCCCCUUACUUGGGGAUACCCCGUUGAAAGACGGCCUAAUACCCGAUGUGUUUCAUUGACGGCAUCCGAUAUGAAACAAAGGUUUUCCGGUAAGGGAUGGGGAUGCGUCUGAUUAGCUAGUUGGCGGGGCAACGGCCCACCAAGGCGACGAUCAGUAGGGGUUCUGAGAGGAAGGUCCCCCAUAUUGGAACUGAGACACGGUCCAAACUCCUACGGGAGGCAGCAGUGAGGAAUAUUGGUCAAUGGACGCAAGUCUGAACCAGCCAAGUAGCGUGCAGGAUGACGGCCCUAUGGGUUGUAAACUGCUUUUAUGUGGGAAUAAAUUGGCGCACGUGUGCGCCAUUGCAUGUACCUCAUGAAUAAGGACCGGCUAAUUCCGUGCCAGCAGCCGCGGUAAUACGGAAGGUCCGGGCGUUAUCCGGAUUUAUUGGGUUUAAAGGGAGUGUAGGCGGUCUGUUAAGCGUGUUGUGAAAUUUAGGUGCUCAACAUUUAACUUGCAGCGCGAACUGUCAGACUUGAGUACACGCAGCGCAGGCGGAAUUCAUGGUGUAGCGGUGAAAUGCUUAGAUAUCAUGAGGAACUCCGAUCGCGAAGGCAGCCUGCGGGAGUGUUACUGACGCUUAAGCUCGAAGGUGCGGGUAUCGAACAGG